GAUGAACGCUGGCGGCGUGCCUAAUACAUGCAAGUCGAGCGAACAGACGAGGAGCUUGCUCCUCUGACGUUAGCGGCGGACGGGUGAGUAACACGUGGAUAACCUACCUAUAAGACUGGGAUAACUUCGGGAAACCGGAGCUAAUACCGGAUAAUAUAUUGAACCGCAUGGUUCAAUAGUGAAAGACGGUUUUGCUGUCACUUAUAGAUGGAUCCGCGCCGCAUUAGCGAGUUGGUAAGGUAACGGCUUACCAAGGCAACGAUGCGUAGCCGACCUGAGAGGGUGAUUGGCCACCAUGGAACUGAGACACGGUCCAGACUCCUACGGGAGGCAGCAGUAGGGAAUCUUCCGCAAUGGGCGAAAGCCUGACGCCGCAACGCCGCGUGAGUGAUGAAGGUCUUCGGAUCGUAAAACUCUGUUAUUAGGGAAGAACAAAUGUGUAAGUAACUAUGCACGUCUUGACGGUACCUAAUCAGAAAGCCACGGCUAACUACGUG
rnacentral:rRNA from 1 species